rnacentral:rRNA from 1 species
GAUGAACGCUGGCGGCAUGCCUAAGACAUGCAAGUCGAACGAGAUGGCCUUUUGAAAACUGCGUACUUGUACAAAGUUGGAUAGAGAUUUUCCAUCUAGUGGCAGACGGGUGAGUAAUACAUAAGUAAUCUACCUUAGAGACUGGGAUAACGUUUGGAAACGGACGCUAAUACCGGAUGAUUCGUUCUUACACAAGUAAGAAUGCUAAAAGGAGCUUCGGCUUCACUUUAAGAUGAGCUUAUGGCGUAUUAACUAGUUGGUAAGGUAAUGGCUUACCAAGGCGACGAUGCGUAGCCGGCCUGAGAGGGUGAUCGGGCCACAUUGGGACUGAGACAGGCCCAAAAUCCUACGGGGANACAGCAGUUAGGAUAUUCGUCAAU